UACAGAGGUCUCAAGCGUUGUUCGGAAUUACUGGGCGUAAAGGGUGCGCAGGCCGCGCGGGCAGUCAAAUGUGUAAUUCAGGGGCUCAACCCCUGCACUGCGCUUGAUACUUCCGCGCUCGAGCUUUGGAGAGGAGUUUGGAAUUCUCGGUGUAGCAGUGAAAUGCGUGGAUAUCGAGAAGAACACUUAGGGCGUAGGCAAGACUCUGGACAAAUGCUGACGCUCAUGCACGAAGGCUAGGGUAGCGAACGGG
rnacentral:rRNA from 1 species